rnacentral:rRNA from 1 species
GAUGAACGCUGGCGGCGUGCUUAACACAUGCAAGUCGAACGAUGAAGCCCAGCUUGCUGGGUGGAUUAGUGGCGAACGGGUGAGUAACACGUGAGUAACCUGCCCUUAACUCUGGGAUAAGCCUGGGAAACUGGGUCUAAUACCGGAUAGGAGCGUCCACCGCAUGGUGGGUGUUGGAAAGAUUUAUCGGUUUUGGAUGGACUCGCGGCCUAUCAGCUUGUUGGUGAGGUAAUGGCUCACCAAGGCGACGACGGGUAGCCGGCCUGAGAGGGUGACCGGCCACACUGGGACUGAGACACGGCCCAGACUCCUACGGGAGGCAGCAGUGGGGAAUAUUGCACAAUGGGCGCAAGCCUGAUGCAGCGACGCCGCGUGAGGGAUGACUGCCUUCGGGUUGUAAACCUCUUUCAGUAGGGAAGAAGCGAAAGUGACGGUACCUGCAGAAGAAGCACCGGCUAACUACGUG